UUCACUGGUUCAUUGUCCACACCAGGAGGGAGAACUCUGAACUUCCCUUCCUCUCAGCCCUCGAGGAGCCCAUGGGCUUGUGUGGAACACAGCAACAACAAACCCACUGAUAAUUACAGUGUGACAUUGUGUUAGAAGAACACACUGAAGGCGAAUUCUGGAAAGUUCUCAGAAAGAACUUCUGUUUCUGGCACUCUGCCAGGCACCACGGGGGCCUCGGUUAUCUUGUUGGUCACCGUGUCACCAGUGCCUCACACAAGGCCUGGCGCUUGGCAUGCAUUUGGUGAUGGACACAGCUGUAGAGCGACACACCUCCGACAGGUAAAAACGUACCAUCUGUGAAAGGCAC
rnacentral:lncRNA from 1 species